GUCAGCUGAAUUCAGGUUUCUACUGAGGCUCCGCUAAACUGCCUGAUGCUGUGCUGGAGGCUGGGGUGGGUAUGAAAUGAGUACUUUUGCUCGAAGCCCUCCAUCCAGGAAUAGCCAAGUGAAUAGCGCAAAUCAUGUAAAAGCCUUGAAAAGUCAUCUGUGUUUUUAAAAUCCUUAGUCGGCGCUGAUCCAAAGACAGCCCAAGACUGAUGGCAGUCCACAACCAUUUGUAUCUGGUCCAGAUGAGAGUUCCCAGACCUUCUGCCCUCCUGGAGGUCCACCAUUGCUGACAUCAGUUAGCCAAUGUUCUGCUAAGGGAUGCCCAGCAAAGGAAUGAAAUGUGGCAGCUAUUGUCUGGAUGGAGCCCUGUUUUCUGGGCAGUAUACUUCUAGAUGGUUGGUUUCUAAAACUACCUGUACUUGGAAGCUAUCAUUGGGAUCUCUCUUCCAUGGAGGACUGGCUGAGUUGCCCGCUGAGAAAACGGACUACAGUGAUUCGUGGAAUU